CUAAUACAUGCAAGUCGAGCGAACAGAAGGGAGCUUGCUCCCGGAUGUUAGCGGCGGACGGGUGAGUAACACGUGGGUAACCUGCCUGUAAGACUGGGAUAACUCCGGGAAACCGGAGCUAAUACCGGAUAGUUCCUUGAACCGCAUGGUUCAAGGAUGAAAGACGGUUUCGGCUGUCACUUACAGAUGGACCCGCGGCGCAUUAGCUAGUUGGUGGGGUAAUGGCUCACCAAGGCGACGAUGCGUAGCCGACCUGAGAGGGUGAUCGGCCACACUGGGACUGAGACACGGCCCAGACUCCUACGGGAGGCAGCAGUAGGGAAUCUUCCGCAAUGGACGAAAGUCUGACGGAGCAACGCCGCGUGAGUGAUGAAGGUUUUCGGAUCGUAAAGCUCUGUUGUUAGGGAAGAACAAGUGCGAGAGUAACUGCUCGCACCUUGACGGUACCUAACCAGAAAGCCACGGCUAACUACGUGCCAGCAGCCGCGGUAAUACGUAGGUGGCAAGCGUUGUCCGGAAUUAUUGGGCGUAAAGGGCUCGCAGGCGGUUUCUUAAGUCUGAUGUGAAAGCCCCCGGCUCAACCGGGGAGGGUCAUUGGAAACUGGGAAACUUGAGUGCAGAAGAGGAGAGUGGAAUUCACGUGUAGCGGUGAAAUGCGUACAGAUGCGGAGGSAACACCMGUG
rnacentral:rRNA from 1 species